UACUUUUGUGAUAUCAGGUCAUCUGCAUGUCAUAUUACAGAAAGUGGGAAUAUUACUAUGAUAUUUUAAAAAGAUAAAACCAAAGAACUAUAGCAGUAGUAGCUCAUUGUUUAUGUUUUUCUAUUUCAUGGCUUUAAUGGAAUUUUCGCUUGCAUUAGUCCUUGUAUUUUUAUGUUGAUAGAUUUUGGGAUCCCUAUAUCUGAAUCGUAUCAGUGUUGACUAGAUUGAUUCCUCUUCUAUCGGGGCAUUGGCGUUACUGAGUUCAAUAAGCUUAUUAGGUUUUUUUCAUAGAUGGGGCAUUCUGCUGCUGUAUGGGAGUUUAGAGUAGCAGCUGAACUUACAAAGGGCUGGAAUGGAGUUGAUCAAGUUGUACUUCAUACGCCACAAAGUACUUCAGCACGGGUGAGAACUUGUUGAUUAAUUUAUUUGCGUUGGUUUUAACAUUAGACGGAAUCAUGAUUUUGUCAUUUUCCGAACUUUGAGGUAAAGUUCAUCAAACGUCGAGAGAAUUCGGUUGCCCAUACGUUAGCUAAGGCGGCCAAUUCUUGGACUAGGCGUCAUGUUAUUAAUGAGAUUCCUCCUUGUACUGUUUCGCAGUUGAUUAAUGAUAGUCGUUGAGUUUGUUUGUGUCAAAAAAAAGUAUGAACUACCUUGGGGGUGAAAACCACGUAGUCUUAACAAUAGUUAAUUUACUUGUUGUCAGAUUGGUGCAAUCAAUAAAAUCAAUGUUUAAAUCCAUCAUUAAUUAGUUUUAUUGAAUUUUGAAGAUUUUAAUGAACUACCUAAGCAUCUUAUUUAAGUGUUAAUCACUAUAGAAAGUUCUAGUAGGUGAGAUUCUGUUAUUAACAUAAUCUGAUAGUUGGUAGGUUGCUUUAUAAUGAUGGUACACCUGAUAAAGAUGCUAUCAACCACAGCAGAAGCACUGAUAAUGCUUGAUUCCUGUGGAUCUAACAUUAUUGAGCUAGCGUGGCAGGCUAUGAAACAUGUGAAAGCUUCAAUAAUGACUAUGGCAUCUUCCACCAGAUCACUAGUUCUCUUUCUUCUAGCCAUGGAACCAUCACAAGGAUUGCCGACACCGGUGGACCAAAUGGCACUUAGUAUUAAAUAUUCUCUGGAUCAGGUAAUGUUUUUAAAUGCCAAGUUAUAUUUUUAAAGCUCCUCAUUAAAUAGCUGGGCUAUUAUAGUCAUAUAUUUUCCUACAAACCAGAGAUGCUUUGGAGGACAUCCUCAUUAAAUAGUUGUUGAUACUUCACAGGAUGCUUUUUUAACCAGAGACUGUUGCACUCAUCUUUAUUCUUUACAAUUAUUACGAUGUCAAUAAUUUGUUAGUUUAAGGAUUGGAACCGUCAUCUAUUAGACCAUAUGUUCAUCUAUUCCAGCUGCCUUGGUAAGUUUAUCCGCAUCAAUUUCCAGUCUUGACACAAGAAGUGUAAUAACUCUAAUGUCCUUGUUCACAACCUCAAUAGCAUAUAUCCUUGUACCAUACACAAACUGACAUACAGUUGGAUUUUAUUUUACAUACCUUUUAGAU